rnacentral:rRNA from 1 species
UACUCCUACGGGAGGCAGCAGUGGGGAAUAUUGCACAAUGGGGGAAACCCUGAUGCAGCGACGCCGCGUGGAGGAAGAAGUUUUUCGGAUUGUAAACUUCUGUCAGUCAGGGAAGAUAAUGACGUACC